ACCGGAUCCACUGAUCCACCAGAAAGAGCCAAGGAAAGCCAUGCCUCAAGCUUCCCUCUUUCUGCCUGAGGCCACGCCCAAGGGGGUGUGGCAACCAUUACAAGUUCACUGCAAGAUCGCUAUAGAAAUAUCAAUGCUGUUUGCCCUAUAAUUCACUUUUUGAGCCUCUGACAUUUACCCAGCUGACUGUCUUUGGAGAACAAUCUCUUGACUGAGAAGGCUUUCUGUAAGGAAACUGUCAAUUACAAAUUACUGCUUGAUGCGUCCUAAAGUGCAGCCAUCUCCAGAUUUAAAGACCAACCUUGUUAAGUCCACUACAGCCUGUACCUGAAGUCAACACAGUGCAUCUAUGCAAUUACA
rnacentral:lncRNA from 1 species